UUAGAGGAAGUAAAAGUCGUAACAAGGUUUCCGUAGGUGAACCUGCGGAAGGAUCAUUACCGAGAGUUGCAGGCUUUUGUCUGCCAUCUCUUACCCAUGUCUUUUGCGUACUACACGUUUCCUCGGCAGGUCCGCCUGCCGUUAGGACCACAUUAAACCAUUUGCAGUUGCAGUCAGCGUCUGAAAAACUUAAUAAUUACAACUUUUAACAACGGAUCUCUUGGUUCUGGCAUCGAUGAAGAACGCAGCGAAAUGCGAUAAGUAGUGUGAAUUGCAGAAUUCAGUGAAUCAUCGAAUCUUUGAACGCACAUUGCGCCCCUUGGUAUUCCAUGGGGCAUGCCUGUUCGAGCGUCAUUUGUACCUUCAAGCUCUGCUUGGUGUUGGGUGUUUGUCCCGCCUUUGUGCGCGGACUCGCCUUAAAGCAAUUGGCAGCCGGCGUAUUAGUUUCGGAGCGCAGCACAAAUCGCGCUCUGUGUCUUAUACGGUAGCAUCCAUCAAGACUAUUUUACACUCUUGACCUCGGAUCAGGUAGGGAUACCCGCUGAACUUAAGCAUAUCA
rnacentral:rRNA from 1 species